AUUGAACGCUGGCGGCAGGCCUAACACAUGCCAGUCGAGCGGAAGAAGGGAGCUUGCUCCUGGAUUCAGCGGCGGACGGGUGAGUAAUGCCUAGGAAUCUGCCUGGUAGUGGGGGAUAACGUCCGGAAACGGGCGCUAAUACCGCAUACGUCCUGAGGGAGAAAGUGGGGGAUCUUCGGACCUCACGCUAUCAGAUGAGCCUAGGUCGGAUUAGCUAGUUGGUGGGGUAAAGGCCUACCAAGGCGACGAUCCGUAACUGGUCUGAGAGGAUGAUCAGUCACACUGGAACUGAGACACGGUCCAGACUCCUACGGGAGGCAGCAGUGGGGAAUAUUGGACAAUGGGCGAAAGCCUGAUCCAGCCAUGCCGCGUGUGUGAAGAAGGUCUUCGGAUUGUAAAGCACUUUAAGUUGGGAGGAAGGGCAGUAAGUUAAUACCUUGCUGUUUUGGCGUUACCAACAGAAUAAGCACCGGCUAACUUCGUG
rnacentral:rRNA from 1 species